rnacentral:tRNA from 1 species
GGGAAUGUGGCUUAGUGGUACAGUGCUUGCCUAGCAUGCAUGAAGCCCUGGGUUUGAUUCUCAGUAUCA